UACGGGGGGAGCAAGCGUUGUUCGGAUUUACUGGGCGUAAAGGGCGCGUAGGCGGCGCAACAAGUCACUUGUGAAAUCUCCGGGCUUAACUCGGAAAGGUCAAGUGAUACUGUUGUGCUAGAGUGCGGAAGGGGCAACUGGAAUUCUCGGUGUAGCGGUGAAAUGCGUAGAUAUCGAGAGGAACACCUGCGACGAAGGCGGGUUGCUGGGCCGACACUGACGCUGAUGCGCGAAAGCCAGGGGAGCGAACGGG
rnacentral:rRNA from 1 species